rnacentral:lncRNA from 1 species
GUAGGCGUGGAAUAUCAAUUGUUUUCAAAUUAGGAAUAAAACUUCAUCAAACUCAUGAACUUACUCAGUCCCUUCCAGCGUGGAAUUCGCAACAACGACCCUCAGUCAUCAUCCUCUAUAUAUUACUCCUCAGCUCUUAUAUUUAGACGCACACAGUUAUACAGCUCUAGAGAAUUAUCAUACCCUUCAAGAUGAAACCGUACCUACGUCCAAUAUUCCUAUUAUUCCUUAUCCUUCUCGACCAAUCCAUUUCGGCGAGUGCUGCUAUAAAUAUUAAUGGUCUGAGAAACAAAAUUAGAGAAGUUCUAAACAAGCACCCGAGCAUCAAUCUUCCGGCAGAUAAACUGAAGAAGGUGAAGAGACCACUGAAGGCACUGGAUUAUCUGCUUGGCGAAUGUAAGGACAGGCCGCCUCAAGAAUUUCAAGAAUUUUGCCCGAAAUUUAAGAACGAUUAUCAACAAAAUUGCCCGAAUGCCGCGUAUGAAGCAGUUUGCCCGUUACUGAAGCAAGCGAUUCAAAUAUGUUGCCAGAAACACGCAUAACUCUGCAAGCCACGGUGGGCGUUUGGAUGUGCUUUUAGUUACCACUUUCUCUCUUGGAUUUGCUUACGUAUUGCUCCUUUUGUAUUAGUGGCUCCUGUCCCACCUUGCUUUUGGACUUGAGCUUUUUAUAUUUCUGAUUGUUCAAUGUCUGUUGUGUGUGCUCUCCAACCUGUGGUGACUUUCCGGUUUAUUCCUGUGGCUGUUUCUUGUAGGCCUUUCGACCUCCAGUAUUAAAUAAAAGAUCAUCUUGUAGCUUUUUAAUUUUAAUUAUUUUUUAUUUAUAUCUCUUCUAAUAUUAAUAAUAAAUAAUAAAAUAUAUAAAUAAAUAAAUGAUUAUAUACAAUUAAUCUUUUAGGAUGAUUAUUAUUUUAAGAUAGAAAAAAAUAAUAUAUAUUUAUAUAUUGUUAUGAGAGGUCUUUAGUUAUAUGCAUAAUGCACCCUUGGCAACUUGGGAGUUGGGAUUUCAGUAAUUAUUAUUGUGGUGGGUAAAGCUAUAAACUCGGUUUUGUGUAAGUUCCUUUACUUUCUUGAGGAGUCUAAGGUGGGAAAGAGAAACACCUCUUCCAAUGUAAGAAAGUUUUUUAAAACUGGUAUAUUAGUUUAGUUUCAAUCUAAUGCCUCAAAUUUUUUUUUCUUUUCUCCUUGUAUUUUUUAUUCCUUUUCUUCUUAUCUUUCCUUGUUUGCCCCUUCAAUUCUCUUCUUUCUCUCCCAUCUUCUUUCUCUCUCCUUCUAUCCGCCACCAUAGUGCACCGUCACUUGUAGUUGCUUUGGUGGUACUCUACCACAGAAGAAGCAAGUGGAGCCUUGUUUCCAUUACUUUACGGAAAUUCACUUAAUCACAUUCAAUUGGUUCAUUGAGGAAUGAUUGCGGCGUUGUGUUUUUUCUUUCGUGUUUCUGUGUGAGUCAUUUGAGCGGUGCUGCGAAAGAAGAAAAAACUCCGGCGGGUGCCCACUGGUUGUCUGCGGUGGAGAGAAGGAGUGUUUUGUGCGGAAGAAAAGAAGUGGGGCAAACAAGGAAAGACAGGAAGAAAGGAAUAAAAGAAAAAGAGAAAAGAAAAAAUAAUUGAACCAUCAGAUCGACGAAAACUAAACCAAGUGUCAAGGGAAACGAAAAGCAUAAUAGCAUGAGUCAAGUUCAAAAAUUAUACAAAGUUUCACAAAGAAGAUCCAUAUAUGUUUCAAAUGCUAGAUUCCUUCGAAUAGAUGGCUAUGGGUGAUAAAUUAUAUAUGAAUUGCAAAAUACAAAAAAUUCGUUGCAACUUGCAAGGGAUGCAUCAGUAACAAUUGUCUAUUUGAUAUAAAUAUUUAAUUUUAUAUUAACGCAAGGUAAGCAUAUUUUUGUUUUAAUAACAUACUAUUUAUAUUUUAUUUAAAAUAUUUAAUCAGCAUGUUUACGGACAACCCGCAUAUAUAAGCCACUUAAUCUGAAAUCACUUUACUCUUACACAAAAAUAAUGAAUCAAAGAGAAAUAGAGAACUAAGGCUAAACCUAAUCAGAAAAAUCUGAUAGUUGCCAAACACAAACCCUUCCUUUUACACUUCUUCAUCUGUGUGUGUUGACUGCUACUUGCUGCUAAUUUAGGAUCUUGGCAGUUGUAUACGAUAUGCAUGCAUGAGGUCUUGCUGCCUUGUGUUUCUUGUACGACUAUUUCAGCGAUACCAACAUGCAUGGUGCAUGGUUGUUGCUAGUUUGUACGUACAAAAUUUAUACAUUAAUUAUGUUAUAAAAUUAAAUUUUAGAUUUUUAGUUAUACGAUAAGUAUUUACGAUUGCCAAUUGUGAGGCAAUCAUUACACACAUUAAAAUAGAGCCUUGUGCUUGUGGAUGGAGGCUUAUGAGGUAAAAAUAUGCCCACGUGGGAUAUCCUAAAUGUUUUACGGCAAAAUCAAGAUCUAGAUGGUGUUUGAUGAUCACAUAAAGGUGCAACUUCACAACAUAUCAUGCUUUACCGGCUUCAUUCAAUUUGGCAAUCAAUUUUGUGCCCAUCUACUCGUUUCAUCACGAAAGAAGACCCCUAUACCUUAUUUUAUUUAUUUGGGUUACCAAAAGGAAUAUUUCUUUGAAAAGACAUGCAACAACAUCACAACAGAGAAGGUUACAUAAAAUAAGAUGAAAUUAAAUAAAAUUUUAUAAUUUUAUUUAUAAAAUAGAUUCAUUUUGUAAAAUAAAUUUGUCCAUAGUUUAAAAAUUUGAAUUAUUUUAUACAUUUCCUUUAAAGUAUCUAUUUCAUUUUGUAAUUCAUGUCAUUAAAGUAUUUGUAUCAAAUUGAUUUGGUAACAUUUUCUUUAAUUAGUUACUCAGUUAAGAUAUUUAUAUUAUUAUUCAAAUUUAUUCAAUAAAUAUUAUAUAUAAUAAUAUAUGUAUAAAUCACAAUUAAAAUAACUUUCUAUCACAUGAAUUAAUUUAAAAAGUUCUCAUGCUUUAAAUUUCAAAUUCUAUUUUUAUAUUUUAAUUAUAUUUAUAUAAAAAAUAAAAUAAUGAGUAAAAUACGUAACAUCCCCUUAAAUUUUGUAAGAGUAUACAUCUUUUUGUAUUUUUUAACAUUUUCACUUUUUUUUAGCAACCUCCUUGAUCUAUAGGUUAACAUAGUGUAAUAUCCAAACAAUUAAAGAGAUUUAGUUUAUGAAUAUGGAGUGUUGGUAAUAUUUUUUUAGUGUAAUGUACUCGGAAAAUUAAUCUUCUACCAGUUGAAUAAAACUAUUUUUUUAUCAUGUAUCUUUUUAAAUUCUAUAUGUGUACAUAAAAUAAGGUUACACAAAUUUAAAUAAAUGACCAAAUUAAAAUACAUAACAAAAUUAAAAAUUUAAACACGUACAUAAAUUUAAUACAAAAUAACUUAAAAUACUACCUAAAAUACUCUACAAAUAAAAAAAUUAAAAAUUAAAUAACUACAUAAAUUUAAAUAAAUGACCAAAUUAAAAUACAUAACACAAAAUUAAAAAUUAAAUACCUACACAAAUUUAAAUAAAUGACCAAAUUAAAAUACAUAAAAAUUUAAAAAUUUGAACACGUACAUAAAUUUAACACAAAAAAACUUAAAAUACUACCUAAAAUACUCUACAAAUAACAAAAUUAAAAAUUAACAUACCAACAUAAAUUUAAAUAAAUGACCAAAUUAAAAUACGUAAUAACAAAAUUAUAAAAUAAAACACGUACAUAAAUUUAACACAACAAAACUUAAUUUACUAACUAAAAUACUCUACAAAUAACAAAAUUAAAUAUUAAAAUACCUACAUAAAUUUAAAUAAAUGACCAUAUUUUUUUCCAAUUAUUAAAAUUUAAAUUAAAUAACAUAUAUUAUACACAAAAAAUGGUAAUAAAUCAAAAAAUUACUAUGGAAUAAAAAAAUUAAGCAAUCUAUAUAUAUAAAAUUAAUAAAGUAUCAUAUAUUUCAAUAAAAACUAUAAAUAAGUAAACUAAAUAAUAUUCACAUUCUAACUAAACCUAAAAUACCAUAUAUAUAAUACAAAAAAUAUCAUACAAACCUAAUAAAUCUAAACCAAAUAAUAAUAACAUAACAACUAAAAUUAACGUACAAAUAAUUUUAUCACAAAUAAUAACAUAAAUUUAAAAAAUCUUAACAAAAUCAUAUUAAUAAAUCAACUACAACUAACGUACAAAUAAUAAUAUACCAACUCAAAUUUAUAACAUAUACAUAUAACACAAAUAAUAUUAAUAUUUCAACAUUACUUAAGAUUUAAAAGUUCCACCUAACAUCAACAAACGUAGCAUAUAUAUAUAUACAAAAUUUUUAAAAAAUAUUAUUAUCAAAUUAACUAAAACUAACCUAACAUAUAUAUAUAUAUAUAACACAACUAAUAACAUACAAUUUUGAAAAACCUAACUUAACUAAUAUUAACAUAUCAACUAAAAUUACCAAGUUAAAAAACACUUACUAACAGAGAAAUCACGUAAUAGGAAGAGGAGAGAAACCACGUAAUAGGAAGAACAAAGCACUGUCCUACAAACAUAAACAAACCUAACGUAAAUAAUUUUCAUAUAUAUAUAUAUAUAUAUAUAUAUAUAUAUAUAUAUAUAUAUAUAACAACAAAUAUUUACCAUUAAAAAAUACUUACCAAGAAGAAAAAGCAGAACAAAAUAAGAACACCACAAUGUACUGCAGGAACUUAUGAAGAAGAGGAAGAAAGCAAUGCAAGGAAGCAGCUGUGGAAUCCGUCAUGGAGCUUCUUCUUUUAUAAUGCAACAUUUUUCAAUUACCACAACUCGCCAGCCACGCUAACGAUUUCCGUCAAAUGCAAAUUGCCAUCCCUAUUGGUGGUUCCCUCCUGCACUGCUGACCACUGAACCCUGCACACCUGCAUGGCCUGACGGACUCCUGCAAAGCUGCAUGGCCUGACUCCUGCAAAGCUGGACCUCCUGAGCCUACCUAGUGGAACUCGCCAGUCAAAUUGGCGGUUCCCUAUGCAUGACAGUAUCACCAUUGCUACUUGCGAUUUGUUCACGGAGAGUAAACUCGCUAGUUCCACUGGCGAUUUGCGUGGUGCAUGCAUGCAAAACAUGUAAAUAACAGCCCCCUCCCGGAAAAACUUUAAAAAGGACCCCAUCUGGGAAAAUACUUUUUAAAAGUACCCAAAAUGAGAAAUUUGCCUAGUACUUGAUCCUUUUUCUCUUUGAAGAGGAUGAGCUCGAGAUUCACUUAUGAUCCUUGUGUUUAUUAUAAAAUUUAAUCCAUUAAUCAAGUUUGAAUCAAUAAGUUAUAUAUUAGUUCGAAUAAAAUUAGACUUGGUAUUCUAUAUUUAUUUUUUCAUGUGUAUUUUUUUAUUUAUUAAAAAGUUCUAGCAUAGUUCCAAAUAUAUUAAUUUUAUGACUUACUCAAAAUUGUUUUAAAUUUUAAAAAUAACUAUUUGUUUUUAAUAAAAAUGUAUAAAAAAUUAGGGGUGGCAUAAGAGAAAGGUCUAAGCAUAGUAAAAAAAAUAAUUAAAAAAUGCUUUUCUCACGAUGCAUAAGAAAAUGUCCCUUAUGCAUUUUCUUAUGAUCGAUUGAUUAGUUGGAGCAAACAAAAAUGAGAAAAAAUGCUCCACAAAAUAAUUCAAUCAUGUAUUUUUUUAAAAUUUCUUAAAAAUUUCUAGCAUAGUUCCAUAUAUAUAUUAAUUUUAAUUAUGACUAAAAUAGUUUAAAUAUAAAAAACUAUUUAUCUUUUAGAAAUAUCUUAAAAAUAAUUAAACAAAUAAUAAUUUAAGUGAAUAAAACAAAAAAAAGUUAUAAAAAAUAAUUUUAAAAGAUUUUUGUGGAUAAAUGAGAGGGGGUAUUUUGAAAUAAUUAAAAAAUAUUAAUUUUUUAAAAUACUGUAAUGGAUUAAUUGGAUAUUCAUCCAUAAAAAUGUUAAUUAAUGCAUUUAUUAAAUUGAUCAUGAACACAUUAAGUUUGUUUUAUGAAUUUUGAAUGGAUAUUCAUAAAUGAAAUUGUGGUAUUUUUGCUAAUGAUAAUAUUUUUUCUCAUCAUUAUAUGUAGUUCAUCUCUCUUCUAAGAAGGUAAAAAGUUAUGCUUUGUUUGACAUGUUGUGGUAUGGUCUACUUUGAUUAUGCAUAACAAAAUUGUGUUUCAAGGCGUUUUCUUUUGACUUUAAUGGUGUUUUGUACUUGAUAAAAAAGGUUGUUUUGUAGACAUGGUAUGAGACUAUGAGCAAUACUGUCCGUUCUUUUUUAAUUAGUGUAUUGAUCAUGUAAUUUAUCUUUAUUUGUUCCUUUGGUUUUGCAUUAAUUGUAAUACAUAUGUAUUAGGAUUGGAAUACCCGUUGUACUCUUUUUCUUAAAAUAAAUAAAUAAAUAAAACUUUGCUUUUAAAAUAAAUGUACGUUAGCCGCACUCUCUUUUUAAUAUUUUCUCUUAUACCAUUAGCUGAAAAAAUUAACAAUUUUGGUGGGAUUUUGUUUCUUUUAAUGAGGUAUCUCUAUCUAUCUAUAUCGAUUUUGAAAUGAAAUCCAUCCAAAUUGAUGACAUUUUAUAAAUUUCAAGCAAUGGUAAUAGAGUAUUAGAAAAAGAGUGUCAAUUUUUUUUGCUAAUAUUCCUUAAAAAAAUAAGAUCGUAUGAGUUUUUUAGGUAGAAGCACUUUGGACAUUUAUUACCAAUCCAACUUUGAUUUUUUUAUUUAUUUAUUAUUCACUACGGUGUGUUUGGAUCAACUGAAAAAAGUAGGUUAUUUUAAUAUUUGAUUAUAUUAAUAACAAUUAUUGGUAUAAUACAUUAUAAUCCGAAUAAGUUUUUGUUUGAGUUUGUUUCUUGUAAACUUAUAUAUUUUAAGAUAAUUAUUUUUUUAUGGAUGAAGAAAAUAAUUAUUUUUUAAUUAAAAAAAUACCUUUAAUUUUACAAAUUUGAGUUGUUUUUCAAAUUAUAUAAGAUUAACACACUAUAAAAAAACUAAAAUUUUCAAUAUACCGAAUCAUCAUUCAGAUAGUCUCUUCUCUCCAUGUGAAGAGUUAUAAAAAUUCUAUUAAGAAAUAAAAAAACUUCCGGUUGAAGAAGAAUAAUGAAGUCACCUAUAUCCAUGUAAAUCUUGUUUCCUAUCUCUACAAAUAUGAAGGAAUUUUUUAAUUAUUAUUCAAAAAAGUUUCUUCUAUUAUUUUCUCUUGUAUUAUUCACUAAAAAGACUAUAAUAAUAACGGAAUUACGGUUAGAGAGUAAAAAAAAAGAAUUCAAGGUUAACACCAUUGAGGAAAAAAAAAAUCCUUUCUAUUAGAACAUCUAAAAAGUUUUUUAUAUGAUUUUUAGUAAAAUAAAAAAAUAUUAAGCAUAAACAACACAUUGGGAAACAUUCUCGAAAGUUUUGAGUAAAUGAAUGUAACUAACAAGUAGAAAUAAUAAGAUUUCUCUUUUAUCCCAUUUCAUUAAUUCAUUAAGUAUGUAUAAAAAAGCGAUCAAUAUAGAAUCUCUUGCAUACUUAUACUCUUUCUUAUUUCUAUUUGAAAAUUUUUCUUAAUGUUAACAUUCUCGAACAGGUGUUAAGAAAAGUGCUUAAUUAGAUUAGACAUCAUUUACGGAUUCAGAUACAUUAUGUUAUUUAGACAAUUAUUAUAGAUUAAAAUAUUUCUAAAAAUUUUCAUGAUAAUUUGAUAUAAUGUAUUCAUAAUGAUUAUAUUAGUAUUUUAUAAGAAUUUUUCUAAAAUUACCAACCAUUUAUGUUCACAAUUGAAACACAAUUAAAGACCAAUAAAAUUUACUAGAACAAAUAACGUAUUUGUUAGAUUUUAAACUAGAUAUUGGGUUCAUAUAUUUCUAAGCACAAACAAACUAGAACAAAUCCAAGUUGAAUUGCAUCAAAUUUUCUAAAAGGCUAUUAGACAAUGAAUAUAAUCAUUAUUGGUCUUGGUGCUUAUAAUUAUACAAUAAAUAUGAACUUAGCAGACAAAAUGAAAAUUAUUUUUAACUUUAUUAAAAGAUGAGGAAACCAAAAAUUCACCUGGCAGAAGAAACUACUAAUGUACAGAAGCAGAACAAAUCUAAAUCUACAAAAAUGAAACGAAAGCUUGAGUAUAUUGCUGCAUAUACCAUCAAGAAUGAACAGUUAACAUGGCCUAGUGUCAUGAAUAAACACUUAAUCACCCAAAGAACCUAGAAGGAGAACAUAUGAGAUGGAAAUUAAGUCAUUUACCUUUCAACAACCAAGGUCAUGCCAUAAGUUGCUAUCUCAGGAAAUUUCCCGAAGCUAUCAUUAGUUCAUUACCAAACUAUUUAAUUUCAUUGACAUAUGUCUUGCUACCAGAUUUUAUGUAACAAAGAUUUUAAAAGCCUUAUAAAAAGCCAAGAUUGCAUGUGAAUCAAAUCGUAAAAAGGGUACAAUUCAAUAGUUUUGCAAAAAUAUAAUUGUAAUAGCUACAACAUCACAAUACUUCAAUUUCAAACAUGAAAUUAAACAUAUGACUUAAAACAACACUAAAAUUCUUUAUUAUAAUAUGUGGAGCCUCAAAAAAAGAAUUAAAAAGAAAUUACUUCUAUAUAUUGCUAGGAAACAGAAUCAUGAUUCCUCUAAAUCCAAGCUUUCAAACCAUUUUAUAUCCUAUUUAAGUCAAAUCGUUAAAACGUAUCUUUGUAUCCAUUUUAUGAAAGUGAAAUCAUCUUUAAAAUAUUAAUGCUUUAGGCUAAGACAAAUCAUCCCCAUUUUCAUUGCAUCGGUUGGAAAUCAUUGUAGCACCCGGCCAUAUCAAAUAAAUUAGUAUGUAAAGCACUAUUUCUUCCUACUUAGUCUAACCAAAAUUAAUUAAAAUGAAUAGGAGAUUUGUUUUAAUUAGAGUUAGAGUCCUACAUUACAAAUUGAGAUUAUUUGAUUCAUUAAUAAAUUUUAAGAGCCAAACAUUUCACAAAAUUAAUCUUAUGUGUUUAACCCAUGAUAACCGAUAAAUAUGGAUUAUUUUUUAUAAUAAAAAUAUAUUAAAAAUAUCUUUAAAAAUAUUUAUUUAAUAAUUAUUUUUAGCUUAAAUAUUAUGAAUUGAUAUUUUUUUCUAUUUAUAACUUACAUGUAUGAAAAAGAGGAAUUAAAAAAGAAAAAAAGAUUAAAAAAUAUAAAAAAUAUAAAUAAGAAAAAUGUUGACAUUAAACCCAAGUCUAAGGAAAACAAUCACGUUAACCAUUCUAAGAUUGAGAACUCUCUCAACCUAUUUUUUUUUGUAUUUUAAAUUAAUUCCUAUCUCUGUCUGUCAAUUAAAUUUAUAUUAAUUUAAGUAUAAAUAAAAUUAAUACUUAAAUUUUUUAAUAUUUUACUAUUUAAGAUAAUUUGAUGCAUUUAUGAAUGAGUUACCAACCCACUCAUACACUACAAUUAUUCCCUUGAAAUUCAGCUAUUAACAAUGAAGAAUUGGCCCUAUAUAGUAGCAGAAGUGGAUAUAUACCGAUAGGGGAGGAUAGCAAAAGCCAUUCAAAAACAAAGAAAAACAUAAUAUGUAGCUUUAUCCAUGUAUUAGGAUCAUAUUCGUGUAGCAUUAAAAGAACAAAGUUUUUUCAGUGACAAACUCCUAAAAGCAUCAUGUCAAAGCCGUAGAAUCAACGAGCAUCCCAUAAAUAAAAAUAAAUAAAAUCACCAUAUUCAUGCACAAUUACACGUAGAAAUUAAUAAAAUCUUGUCCCCCGACAUCCGUACAACAAGAUAACGAAGAAAAAUCUGGUUGAAGUCUACCAUAAACCCAAGGCCUUCAAUCCAAAACAUAUUGCAUUAAAUCAGGAGUUUCAACUUUCAAGCUAUUAAUCCAAUUAAGAUUUUAUAUCCUUUUUUUUAAUAUUCAACUUGAGCUAUCUGUCUCCAUUAUUAAAUCUUUAAAGUUCUGAAAAUGAAAAUUCAUCAUCCCUAUAGAACACAAAAUAAUACAGAUAGACAAGUGCAAGUUAUUACACAAAGUUGAUAUUCAAACUAUACAAUAAAAAGAGGAUCGAAUGACAAUAAUGAGAGUGAUUAAAAAAAUAUACAAAUUCAAGGUCAUGACAACUCUGAUUCUGUGAAAAGGGAAGUCCAAAUGAAUGAAGAAUAAAAGACACUCAUUACCUAGUGUUUAGUUAACUUUCUGCUAGAAAUACUCUUACUUCGAGCCACAUCAGGUGCCAACUAAUUCUAUUUCUGCUCUGAGAAACUACCAUAAAAAUUUGUUUGGGAAUCCACAACCCUACCACCUUUUUCUGCAAACCCCUAAUUGAAAAGAGAGUAUAAUAAACACAAAAAGCUUGUGGGGAAAAUUAAAAGAGAGGGAGAGGGAGAGGGAGAGAGCACGAGAGAAAAAUUAAAAUUAAAAUAAUAUUUUUAGGAUAGUUGUAAAUAUUGUAUCAUGUACCAUAGAAAUGAUUAUAAAUGUAUCUAGAUUCAUGUACUUGUCCCUAUAAAAGACUAAUAUUUUUAACAGAAAAUAAAAAAAAAAGAGUUAAAAUGAAACCAUAAAAAUUUAAAAUAAAACUUUUAAAAUUUGAUAUACUAAAUCAGAAAAGAAAAAUACUAAAAUAUAAACGAUGAAAAUAUUUUUUUUUAAAACUUAAUAUUCCUAAAAAUAAAAUAAAAAAAUACAAAGAACCAAAAGUAAUAUAUAUCUGGAGGCCUAAAUGCCAAAAACAAUCACACAACUAAAACGAAAAGGCAUCAUCUGGAUGGGGCAACGCAUUCAACAACUAAUGAUACUCCAAAUUAAAUGAGUAAAUUUAUAAAUGUACAAUCCAUUUUUGUGUGGAUUGGACAAGGCAAUUAAGAGAGAUGUGAUAUCAUAGCAAAUAUAGAUAUUAAAAAAUAUAAGAUGAAAGAGAAUGAGUUUUAAGUAGGAUGUAUGUUUAUAAUGAUAACUCCUAAUACUAUUCUUCCUAAGCUCAUAAAUCCAUAACAUCCAAGUUUGUGUGAAACAUAAGACUUAGACUUGGUGUAUAUUUGAAUUAAAGUUGACGAUUUUAAUAUUAUAGUAGUUUUAUUGUAUAAGUUCAAGAAGGACUUUGGUCUUGCUUUUUUGUAAAUUUGAUUUCGAAUAUAAGUGUGUAAACAUACUCUUAAAGAUAACUAAACAUACUCUUAAAGAUAACUAAAUAUAUCAUAUGAAAUAAAAAUGAGUUUAUGCUCCAAACCAAGUUUAAAACACCAAAAUAAAAUCCAAACAUGUUGAUAUCGAUGUUAUUAAUAGUCUAAUGCAAAAGAAGCAAAUCGUAGACAGAAAAUGAUAACUAAAAGCAUUCACCAAAGCCCACCAUGGCAAAAGUUGUGAUUAGUAUAUAAUGUUGGAGCAUGUUGUGCUUAUUAGAAAUCGAAAGCUCCACCUUUGGUUUCUUUGAUGACAAUAUAUAAGAGUGCCGUUGAGGUAGGUGACGUUGUAGUAGAAAUUCAUGUCGGGGACAACACAUCGUGGUAGCACCUACUGAUGGGGUGACAACACAUCUUUAGCAGGACAAUUAAAGAAUAGUCGAUGAAGAACAAUUGAAUAAAAAGCAAAAAAGAAUCACCAAUUCGAAACAAAUAGUAUAGCACUGCACUACUAACUCACCCCAUCAACCGCAAGUGGCAAAUGACUCCAAACCCAAAACAAUGAAGAAAAUAACCAUUAGUUAAAAUUCGUGAAAUGGGAAUAUCUGAGUAUAAAAUUACAACUAAUCUGAAGGAAUCUGCUAAACAACCUAAUCUUCUAUCAUUUUCAUUUGAUAUUUAAAUUAUUGACUGCUGAAACAAAACUCAUAAAAGAUAAAAUCUGCAACAAUAAUAAUAGAACUCUAUCUAAAACUUAUUCAAAAUUCAAAUAAGGCAGGUCUCAUAUCUUAGCUAGACANNNNNNNNNNNNNNNNNNNNNNNNNNNNNNNNNNNNNNNNNNNNNNNNNNNNNNNNNNNNNNNNNNNNNNNNNNNNNNNNNNNNNNNNNNNNNNNNNNNNCUGGUUCUAAUGUCACGACAGGGGACAUACGCCUCAAAGGUGCCAUAUGGUCGCUGCCGAGUGAAAACGAGAGCCUGUCGUGGGAGGACGGAGUUUUGGACUUGGAGAGUGCGGCGAUGCAUCAGAUAGGGCAUCUUCUAGGGCUUGACCACUCUAACAAAGAGGACUCUGUUAUGUACCCUAACGUAUUGCCAUGGCAGCAACGAAAGGUGGAGCUCUCGGUUUCUGAUAUGGAAAACAUUCAGCGUCACUACACUAACGGCAUCUCUGGCCACAGUGGGCGUUGGGGAGUGCUUUUAAUGAAUAUCUUGUCUCUUGGAUUUGCUUACGAGCUUCUUUAAUUUUGUAUUGGUAUUUGGGUUUAUGAGCUUUUGGGAACAAUUUCAUGACUGUUGACUUGAGUAUAAUGCAUGUGUUCCCCAAACCAGGCAUGACAAUCAAACCCAUAUCCGUGAUAUUGUUCAAAGAAAAUACACGUACCUUAAAAGAAAAUACUCUGGGAGCCAGAACAAAUUAAAUCUUACUAUAUAUUAACUACCUUUUUUAUAUUUUUAAUUUUGGAUAAAAAUAUUUUUACUCCAUCUGAAAUAUGGGAAAUUUAAAAUUAGUCUCUUUAAAUUUUUUUGUCUCAAUGUCUCUAAAAUUUUAACAUGUUAUUUCAUUUAGCAUGUUAAUUAGUUUGUUACUAAACAAUGUAUCUAACACCUUAUGAUCACCAAUUUUUCAUUUUCUGUCAGUUCACCCUGUGACAUUUUUUCACUUUCUUUGGCCAUUCUUAGGGAUUCUUGGAGCAUCAUUCACCUCUUGAUCAUGGCGCACUUGAUGCCUUGGAUUUUUUGGAGGUUUAAAAUGCAUGGGCUGGGAUUUUUGAAGAUCAAGGUUAUUGUCACCUAAACACGUGGUUUUCUUUUCUAUUUCUACCAUCUUAAAAUACUUUUAUGCUUGUAUUUAUUGAUCUUAGUUUGGGGUUUGAAUUUCUUUUUAUCAUGACCAUCUAAGCUUAUAUUAUGAGGGAUGUUGUGACUUGAAUAUUAUGAAUUUUUCUAAUGUGUUGUGUAUAUUUGUCUUAUUGUACUUAAUUUUGAGUUUGGGAAUUGACUUUAAAGUGUUAAUUAAUAGACUAAUUAGUAACCAUCCAUAGAGACGUUCCCUAAUGUUCCAUUCAAUUAAUUAUACUUUUAGUAGUUUUUAACCUGUGAAGUUCAAAUAAUUAAGACGAAAAAAAUAGCAAAAGAAAUAUAUUAAAUGGCCACAACAUAGGGGACGUACGGUGCUUUAACUUUGAUAUUAUUAGCAUAAUCUUUUAACAAAUUGAGUUAAUGAGUCAAUUACGUUAUAAAAUAAAUAAUGUUACUAUACGUAAUAUUAAAAUUUCUAAUGUAUAUUUAAUACGGAUGUAAAUUUAAAUAAUAAAUUUUGUGACAAUUAAUUUUGAUAUAAGUCAUACAAAUUAUUUAAUUCGUAUAAUUUAUAUCAAAAUUAAUUGUAAUAAAAUUUAUUAUUUAAAUUUAUAUGCGUAUUAAAUAUACAUUAGAAAUUUUAGUGUUAUGUAUAGUAACAUUAUUUAUUUUAUAACAUAAUUGAUUCAUUAACUCAGUUGAUUAAAGCGUUAUGUUAAUAACCUGAAAAUUUACAGAAGAAUUUUUUUUUUGUAAGAGUUACGAGUGAAGGACAAGGCAAAAUUAGAAAAAUAAAAAAAUACUGGGUACAUCAGAAAUACUAUUGAUACACCUAGCAACACUCUUUUAGAAGGUAGCUUAAUAUAGAACUUAGCUAAGAAGUAAAUAAAUGUUUGUUAAAAAUUAUUUUUCUUUCACGAUCGAACUCAAAUAAUUUAAUUUUAUUUUCAACACAUUAAUCAUUUUAUUUUAUGUUGAAUCAUUUGAUUUCAAGUCAUAUGUUCUUAUCAAUCCUUAUCAAUGAAGUUUUCUCAUAUGUUAAAAAAAAGCCCCGAAAAUAAAGAAGGGCAAAAAAAGAAAGGGCCUCAAUAAAUGGAGAUAGAAAAAAAUAGUGAGUUCAUACAAGCAAGCCUUCGGUGAAUGCCACUUUAUCAAUCCAGAAAAGUACGAUUGCUCGAAAGGAUAAAUAUAUUUAGAUGCCGAAAAUACUAUUAUACACCUAUUAAAAAAGAGUGAAUUUUAUAAGUAUAUUAAAUAUAUGAUGUGAUGUGAGAAGAAGAAAAAAAAGAAAUGUUAAAAAACUAUUUAAAAUAAUGGAGUAUUCAAAAAUAACAUAUUUAGUACUUGGGCAAAUUUCCCCAUUUGGGGUACUUUUAAAAAGUAUUUUCCCAGAUGGGAUUGUUUUAAAAGAUUUUUCGGCAGGGGACUGUUUUGCACGUAAAAUGCAUGCAUGUUCCAAGCAAACUGCCAGUGAGACUGGCGAGUUUGCUCUCCAUGAACAAAUAACAGGUAAUAAUGGCGAUACUGCCAUGCAUAGGAAACCGCCAGUUUGACUGGCGAGUUCCACUAGGUAGGGCUUCAGCUUUGCAACAGGGAGCUCAGGAGCUCAGGCUUUUGCAGGAUGCAGGCGUGACAGGGAAAUCGUCACUCCUAUAGGCGAGUUAGUCUAAAGUGGAGUUGCCAAUGGUAUUGGCGAGUUAGGUGGGAGGUGCCACCUGCAUUGGCGAUUUAGCGUGUAAAUAUAGGUCCUUUUACGUUGCAGUUUCAGUGUGUGUUGCACUUUUUUAAAAGCUCUCAACUCAAAAUUUCCUUCUUCUCACGUAGUUUCAGUGUGUGUUACACUUUUUUAAAAGCUCUCAGCUCAAAAUUUCCUUCUUCUCACGUUUACAUUUGUUUUGUCAUAAGCUUUCCAAAUUUGGUGGUUCAGGUUUAAUUUGUAGCAUCAAUAUUUUCAGUCAAGUAAUUUUUUUUUAAUGUGAAGUUUUGAAUAAUUUUUUUAAUUAAAUUAGCUUUAUAUUUCUUAUGGUUGUUGGUGUGUGUUUAAAAUAAAAGAAAUUUGUACCAUCAUCUUUAUUUGAAGAAAAUAUUGAGUCCAAAAAUUGUAUUUUGAAUUUCAAGUUUUUAUUAUAUUUUUAAUUAGAUUAGGUUAGUUUUGAUGUUUUGUUAUUGUGUUAAAAAUUGAUCAAGUGUAUACUUUUAAAAGAUUUUAAAACUGAAAAAUUUUGUACCAUCAUAUUUAUUUGAAGUAUUUUGAGUGUGGAAUUUUUUUUAAUAUGAGGUUGUAGUAAUAUUUUUUUUAAAUUACUUUAGGUUGAUGUUAAUGAUUUGUUGGUAUGUGGUAAAAAUUAAUGAGCGUUGAACUUGAAUGGUAUUUUAAAUUUUAAUAUGAAGUGUGUAGUAUAUAAUUAAUAUGUGUACUUUUAAAGUGUUGUUUAGUUCAGCGUUUUUAAAUUUAUACUUUUAAGUCUAUGACAUCAUUUUUAUUUUAAUGUAUUUAUAGUAAUUUUGUAAUUACGUUUAUUUAUUUAGAAUUUAUUAUUGUUAACAUUAAUUAUUUAUAAUACUAACUUUGGUUAUGGUUUAUUUUGCCUUUAAAAUUAGUUCGUUGGAAUCGUUUAUAUUUUUUAAGUGUGUACCAUUAUAUUUAUUUAAAGUUAAUAUUUUUUGUAUAUAAUAAAAUUAUAAUGUGAAGUUCCAGCAAUGGGAUUUUUUGUGAUUUCAUUUUGUUAUUUUGAAUUUAUUAUGAUUAAUUAUUUAAAAUAUUGUUUUUGUAGGUACAUCAUGAAUUCAGUUAUAAUAGUAUUAUAUUUCAAUGAAAGGGUAUAUGAAGAUAAUGAUGGUGUAAGAUUUGAAGACAAUAAAAAAGCGAUUCAGAUUAAACGUGGAAUUAGUUUCAAUGUUUUGAAGAAAAAAAUUGGAGAUAAUGUAAAGUUAGAAAAUAAUGAAAUUAUUUGUGCUAUCAGUUGUAGAUUUUUAGUGUCUGAAAAAUAUGUUGCGUUACAAAUUUGUGAUGACGAAGAUGUUGAAACCAUGCUCAAAAGUUUUAAACAACAAGAUCAAAUGUCAGCUUUGAAAUUGACAACAAAAAUUUUACAUUAAAAAAAUUAACUACACUUACAAAAAAUCAAUUGAAUAUACAUACCACAUAAUUAAAAUCUGAAUAAAUAACAAAAUACAUCAAUUUGAACAAAUAACAAAAUUAAAAAUAACAAUACGUACACAAAUUUCAAUAAAUGCUCUAAAAUACUCUACAAAUAACAAAAUUACAAAUUAAACACGUACAUAAAUUUAACACAACAAAACUUAAAAUAUUACCUAAAAUACUCUACAAAUAACAAAAUUAAAAAUUACAUGCCUACACAAAUUUAAAUAAAUGACCAAAUUAAAAUACAUAACAAAAUUAAAAAUUUAAACACGUACAUAAAUUUAAUACAAAAUAACUUAAAAUACUACCUAAAAUACUCUACAAAUAACAAAAUUAAAAAUUAAAUAACUACAUAAAUUUAAAUAAAUGACCAAAUUAAAAUACAUAACACAAAAUUAAAAAUUAAAUACCUACACAAAUUUAAAUAAAUGACCAAAUUAAAAUACAUAACAAAUUUAAAAAUUUAAACACGUACAUAAAUUUAACACAAAAAAACUUAAAAUACUACCUAAAAUACUCUACAAAUAACAAAAUUAAAAAUUAACAUACCAACAUAAAUUUAAAUAAAUGACCAAAUUAAAAUACGUACAUAACAAAAUUAUAAAAUAAAACACGUACAUAAAUUUAACACAACAAAACUUAAUUUACUAACUAAAAUACUCUACAAAUAACAAAAUUAAAUAUUAAAAUACCUACAUAAAUUUAAAUAAAUGACCAUAUUUUUUUUCCAAUUAUUAAAAUUUAAAUUAAAUAACAUAUAUUAUACACAAAAAAUGGUAAUAAAUCAAAAAAUUACUAUGGGAUAAAAAAAUUAAGCGAUCUAUAUAUAUAAAAUUAAUAAAGUAUCAUAUAUUUCAAUAAAAACUAUAAAUAAGUAAACUAAAUACUAUUCACAUUCUAACUAAACCUAAAAUACCAUAUAUAUAAUACAAAAAAUAUCAUACAAACCUAAUAAAUCUAAACCAAAUAAUAAUAACAUAACAACUAAAAUUAACGUACAAAUAAUUUUAUCACAAAUAAUAACAUAAAUUUAAAAAAACCUAACUUAACUAAUAUUAACAUAUCAACUAAAAUUACCAAGUUAAAAAACACUUACUAACAGAGAAAUCACAUAAUAGGAAGAGGAGAGAAACCACGUAAUAGGAAGAACAAAGCACUGUCCUACAAACAUAAACAAACCUAACGUAAAUAAUUUUCAUAUAUCAACUACAAUUAAGUUAAUAUAUAUAUAUAUAUAUAUAUAUAUAUAUAUAUAUAUAUAUAUAUAUAUAUAUAACACAACAAAUAUUUACCAUUAAAAAAUACUUACCAAGAAGAAAAAGCAGAACAAAAUAAGAACACCACAAUGUACUGCAGGAACUUAUGAAGAAGAGGAAGAAAGCAAUGCAAGGAAGCAGCUGCGGAAUCCGUCAUGGAGCUUCUUCUUUUAUAAUGCAACAUUUUUCAAUUACCACAACUCGCCAGCCACGCUAACGAUUUCCGUCAAAUGCAAAUUGCCAUCCCUAUUGGUGGUUCCCUCCUGCACUGCUGACCACUGAACCCUGCACACCUGCAUGGCCUGACGGACUCCUGCAAAGCUGCAUGGCCUGACUCCUGCAAAGCUGGACCUCCUGAGCCUACCUAGUGGAACUCGCCAGUCAAAUUGGCGGGUCCCUAUGCAUGACAGUAUCACCAUUACCACAACUCGCCAGCCACUCUAACGAUUUCCGUCAAAUGCAAAUUGUCAUCCCUAUUGGUGGUUCCCUCCUGCACUGCUGACCACUGAACCCUGCACACCUGCAUGGCCUGACGGACUCCUGCAAAGCUGCAUGGCCUGACUCCUGCAAAGCUGGACCUCCUGAGCCUACCUAGUGGAACUCGCCAGUCAAAUUGGCGGGUCCCUAUGCAUGACAGUAUCACCAUUGCUACUUGCGAUUUGUUCACGGAGAGCAAACUCGCUAGUUCCACUGGCGAUUUGCGUGGUGCAUGCAUGCAAAACAUGUAAAUAACAGCCCCCUCUCGGAAAAACUUUAAAAAGGACCCCAUCUGGGACAAUACUUUUUAAAAGUACCCAAAAUGAGAAAUUUGCCUAGUACUUGAUCCUUUUUUCUCUUUGAAGAGGAUGAGCUCGAGAUUCACUUAUGAUCCUUGUGUUUAUUAUAAAAUUUAGUCCAUUAAUCAAGUUUGAAUCAAUAAGUUAUAUAUUAGUUCGAAUAAGAUUAGACUCAGUAUUCUAUAUUUAUUUUUUCAUGUGUAUUUUUUUAUAUAUUAAAAAGUUGUAGCAUAGUUCCAAAUAUAUUAAUUUUAUGACUUACUCAAAAUUGUUUUAAAUUUUAAAAAUAACUAUUUUUUUUAAUAAAAAAUUAGGGGUGGCAUAAGAGAAAGGUCUAAGCAUAGUAAAAAAAAAAUUAAAAAAUGCUUUUCUCACGAUGCAUAAGAAAAUGUCCCUUAUGCAUUUUCUUAUGAUCGAUUGAUUAGUUGGAGCAAACAAAAAUGAGAAAAAAUGCUCCACAAAAUAAUUCAAUCAUGUAUUUUUUUAAAAUUUCUUAAAAAUUUCUAGCAUAGUUCCAUAUAUAUUAAUUUUAAUUAUGACUAAAAUAGUUUAAAUAUAAAAAACUAUUUAUCUUUUAGAAAUAUCUUUAAAAUAAUUAAACAAAUAAUAAUUUAAGUGAAUAAAACAAAAAAAAGUUAUAAAAAAUAAUUUUAAAAGAUUUUUGUGGAUAAAUGAGAGGGGGUAUUUUGAAAUAAUUAAAAAAUAUUAAUUUUUUAAAAUACUGUAAUGGAUUAAUUGGAUAUUCAUCCAUAAAAAUGUUAAUUAAUGCAUUUAUUAAAUUGAUCAUGAACACAUUAAGUUUGUUUUAUGAAUUUUGAAUGGAUAUUCAUAAAUGAAAUUGUGGUAUUUUUGCUAAUGAUAAUAUUUUUUCUCAUCAUUAUAUGUAGUUCAUCUCUCUUCUAAGAAGGUAAAAAGUUAUGCUUUGUUUGACAUGUUGUGGUAUGGUCUACUUUGAUUAUGCAUAACAAAAUUGUGUUUCAAGGCGUUUUCUUUUGACUUUAAUGGUGUUUUGUACUUGAUAAAAAAGGUUGUUUUGUAGACAUGGUAUGAGACUAUGAGCAAUACUGUCCGUUCUUUUUUAAUUAGUGUAUUGAUCAUGUAAUUUAUCUUUAUUUGUUCCUUUGGUUUUGCAUUAAUUGUAAUACAUAUGUAUUAGGAUUGGAAUACCCAUUGUACUCUUUUUCUUAAAAUAAAUAAAUAAAUAAAACUUUGCUUUUAAAAUAAAUGUACGUUAGCCGCACUCUCUUUUUAAUAUUUUCUCUUAUACCAUUAGCUGAAAAAAUUAACAAUUUUGGUGGGAUUUUGUUUCUUUUAAUGAGGUAUCUCUAUCUAUCUAUAUCGAUUUCGAAAUGAAAUCCAUCCAAAUUGAUGACAUUUUAUAAAUUUCAAGCAAUGGUAAUAGAGUAUUAGAAAAAGAGUGUCAAUUUUUUUUGCUAAUAUUCCUUAAAAAAAUAAGAUCGUAUGAGUUUUUUAGGUAGAAGCACUUUGGACAUUUAUUACCAAUCCAACUUUAAUUGUUUUUUUAUUUAUUAUUCACUACGGUGUGUUUGGAUCAACUGAAAAAAUUAGGUUAUUUUAAUAUUUGAUUAUAUUAAUAACAAUUAUUGGUAUAAUACAUUAUAAUCCGAAUAAGUUUUUGUUUGAGUUUGUUUCUUGUAAACUUAUAUAUUUUAAGAUAAUUAUUUUUGUAUGGAUGAAAAAAAUAAUUAUUUUUUAAUUAAAAAAAUACCUUUAAUUUUACAAAUUUGAGUUGUUUUUCAAAUUAUAUAAGAUUAACACACUAUAAAAAAACUAAAAUUUUCAAUAUACCGAAUCGUCAUUCAGAUAGUCUCUUCUCUCCAUGUGAAGAGUUAUAAAAAUUCUAUUAAGAAAUAAAAAAAACUUCCGGUUGAAGAAGAAUAAUGAAGUCACCUAUAUCCAUGUAAAUCUUGUUUCCUAUCAAAUCGUAAUAGCUACAACAUCACAAUAGUUUUGCAAGAUUGCAUGUGAAUCAAAUCGUAAAAAGGGUACAAUUCAAUAGUUUUGCAAAAAUAUAAUUGUAAUAGCUACAACAUCACAAUACUUCAAUUUCAAACAUGAAAUUAAACAUAUGACUUAAAACAACACUAAAAUUCUUUAUUAUAAUAUGUGGAGCCUCAAAAAAAGAAUUAAAAAGAAAUUACUUCUAUAUAUUGCUAGGAAACAGAAUCAUGAUUCCUCUAAAUCCAAGCUUUCAAACCAUUUUAUAUCCUAUUUAAGUCAAAUCGUUAAAACGUAUCUUUGUAUCCAUUUUAUGAAAGUGAAAAUCAUCUUUAAAAUAUUAAUGCUUUAGGCUAAGACAAAUCAUCCCCAUUUUCAUUGCAUCGGUUGGAAAUCAUUGUAGCACCCGGCCAUAUCAAAUAAAUUAGUAUGUAAAGCACUAUUUCUUCCUACUUAGUCUAACCAAAAUUAAUUAAAAUUAAUAGGAGAUUUGUUUUAAUUAGAGUUAGAGUCCUACAUUACAAAUUGAGAUUAUUUGAUUCAUUAAUAAAUUUUAAGAGCCAAACAUUUCACAAAAUUAAUCUUAUGUGUUUAACCCAUGAUAACCGAUAAAUAUGGAUUAUUUUUUAUAAUAAAAAUAUAUUAAAAAUAUCUUUAAAAAUAUUUAUUUAAUAAUUAUUUUUAGCUUAAAUAUUAUGAAUUGAUAUUUUUUUCUAUUUAUAACUUACAUGUAUGAAAAAGAGGAAUUAAAAAAGAAAAAAAGAUUAAAAAAUAUAAAAAAUAUAAAUAAGAAAAAUGUUGACAUUAAACCCAAGUCUAAGGAAAACAAUCACGUUAACAUUAUUAAGAUUGAGAACUCUCUCAACCUAUUUUUUUUUUGUUAUUUUAAAUUUAAUUUCUUAUCUCUUGCCUGUCAAUUAAAUUUAUAUUAAUUUAAGUAUAAACAAAAUUAAUACUUAAAUUUUUUAAUAUUUUACUAUUUAAGAUAAUUUGAUGCAUUUAUGAAUGAGUUACCAACCCACUCAUACACUACAAUUAUUCCCUUGAAAUUCAGCUAUUAACAAUGAAGAAUUGGCCAUAUAUAGUAGCAGAAGUGGAUAUAUACCGAUAGGGGAGGAUAACAAAAGCCAUUCAAAAACAAAGAAAAACAUAAUAUGUAGCUUUAUCCAUGUAUUAGGAUCAUAUUCGUGUAGCAUUAAAAGAACAAAGUUUUUCAGUGACAAACUCCUAAAAGCAUCAUGUCAAAGCCGUAGAAUCAACGAGCAUCCCAUAAAUAAAAAUAAAUAAAAUCACCAUAUUCAUGCACAAUUACACGUAGAAAUUAAUAAAAUCUUGUCCCCCGACAUCCGUACAACAAGAUAACGAAGAAAAACCCCGGUUGAAGUCUAUCAUAAACCCAAGGCCUUCAAUCCAAAACAUAUUGCAUUAAAUCAGGAGUUUCAACUUUCAAGCUAUUAAUCCAAUUAAGAUUUUAUAUCCUUUUUUUUAAUAUUCAACUUGAGCUAUCUAUCUCCAUUAUUAAAUCUAUAAAGUUCUGAAAAUGAAAAUUCAUCAUCCCUAUAGAACACAAAAUAAUACAGAUAGACAAGUGCAAAUUAUUACACAAAACUGAUAUUCAAACUAUACAAUAAAAAGAGGAUCGAAUGACAAUAAUGAGAGUGAUUAAAAAAAUAUACAAAUUCAAGGUCAUGAUGACAACUCUGAUUCUGUGAAUAGGGAGGUCCAUAUGAAUGAAGAAUAAAAGCCAGUCAUUACCUAGUGCUUAGUUAACUUUCUACUAGAAAUACUCUUCCUUCGGGUCACAUCAGGUGCCAACUAAUUCUACUUCUGCUCUGAGAAACUACCAUAAAAAUUUGUUUGGGAAUCCACAACCCUAACACCUUUUUCUACAAACCCCUAAUUGAAAAGAGAGUAUAAUAAACACAAAAAGCUUGUGGGGAAAAUUAAAAGAGAGGGAGAGGGAGAGAGCGCGAGAGAAAAAAUAAAAUUAAAAUAAUAUUUUUAAGAUAGUUUUAAAUAUUGUAUCAUGUACCAUAGAAAUGAUUAUAAAUGGAUCUAGAUUUAUGUCCUUGUCCCUGUAAAAGACUAAUAUUUUUAACAAAAUAAAUAAAAAAGUUAAAAUGAAACUAUAAAAAUUUAAAAUAAAACUUUUAAAAUUUAAUAUACUAAAUCAGAAAAGAAAAAUACUAAAAUAUAAACGAUGAAAAUAAUUUUUUUAAAACUUAAUAUUCCCUAAAAAUAAAAUAAAAAAUCCAAAGAACCAAAAGUACUAUAUAUCUGGAGGCCUAAAUGCCACAAACAAUCACACAACUAAAACGAAAAGGCAUCGUAUGGAUGGGGCAACGCAUUCAACAACUAAUGAUGCUCCAAAUUAAAUGAGUAAAUUUAUAAAUGUACAAUCCAUUUUUGUGUGGAUUGGACAAGGCAAUUAAGAGAGAUGUGAUAUCAUAGCAAAUAUAGAUAUUAAAAAAUAUAAGAUGAAAGAGUAUGAGUUCUAAGUAGGAUGUAUGUUUAUAAUGAUAACUCAUAAUACUAUUCUUCCUAAGCUCAUAAAUCCAUAACAUCCGAGUUUGAGUGAAACAUAAGACUUAGACUUGGUGUAUAUUUGAAUUAAAGUUGACGAUUUUAAUAUUAUAGUAGUUUUAUUGUAUAAGUUCAAGAAGGACUUUGGUCUUGCUUUUUUGUAAAUUUGAUUUCGAAUAUAAGUGUGUAAACAUACUCUUAAAGAUAACUAAACAUACUCUUAAAGAUAACUAAAUAUAUCAUAUGAAAUAAAAAUGAGUUUAUGCUCCAAACCAAGUUUAAAACACCAAAAUAAAAUCCAAACAUGUUGAUAUCGAUGUUAUUAAUAGUCUAAUGCAAAAGAAGCAAAUCGUAGACAGAAAAUGAUAACUAAAAGCAUUCACCAAAGCCCACCAUGGCAAAAGUUGUGAUUAGUAUAUAAUGUUGGAGCAUGUUGUGCUUAUUAGAAAUCGAAAGCUCCACCUUUGGUUUCUUUGAUGACAAUAUAUAAGAGUGCCGUUGAGGUAGGUGACGUUGUAGUAGAAAUUCAUGUCGGGGACAACACAUCGUGGUAGCACCUACUGAUGGGGUGACAACACAUCUUUAGCAGGACAAUUAAAGAAUAGUCGAUGAAGAAAAAUUGAAUAAAAAGCAAAAAAUAAUAUAUAUAUAUAUAUAUAUAUAUAUAUAUAUAUAUAUAUAUAUAUAUAUAUAUAUAUAUAUAUAUAUAUAUAUAUAUAUAUACCUUUCUAAUUAAAUAUUUUAAUAAUAUAAUAAAAUAAAAUAGUAAAUUAUAAAUUUAAAAAUACUAAAAUAAGUAAAUCUAAUAAUAUAUUACUAUGGGAUGAUAAUUUACUGAUGUUAUAGUAAUGAUAAACCAUUUUUAUCUUAAAUUUAAUAUUAUUAGAAAAUAAUAAAAACAUGUUAAACAAUAAUAAAUAUAAAAUAAUCUAAAUGAUUAAUUGUUGUUAUUAUGAAUCAUUUUCAAUGAAAAAUAUGAAUGAUAUCUUUUAUCUUCUUAGCUUUAAUGGUAGUUUUAUGUAGUUUUAGAAUAACCUAACUUUUAACCCUCUUACAAUUGAAAAAUAGUAAUAUAUAGAGGAAAUGAGGCUUAACUUGGGAACAAUAUAUAUUUAAAUACAAUAAAGUAUAAUCAGCAUUUGUGGUAUAAAUCUAGUCGGAAUCAUGUCUGUUUUCGUCAUGCAGGGGCAUAACAUUAGGCCUUCUAAUAAAAUGGUAAAUAUUAUUUUAUCCGUAUAUAAUACAUUCGUUGUUGGAGGAAGACAUAUUUUUACCAUAAUUUCUUAAAAAAAUAAAUCACUCAAUAAAGUGUUUCCUCCCAAGUCGUAAGAAAAUAAUCAAGCUAUAGAUGCGCUACGAAAUUAAUGUUUUGUAAAAUGAAAUAUAUAAAUAGGAAGAACUUGUAAAAAAAAAAAAUAGAGAUAAACAAUGAAGAAAAUAACCAUUAGUUAAAAUUCGUGAAAUGAGAAUAUCUGAGUAUAAAAUUACAACUAAUCUGAAGGAAUCUGCUAAACAACCUAAUCUUCUAUCAUUUUCAUUUGAUAUUUAAAUUAUUGACUGCUGAAACAAAACUCAUAAAAGAUAAAAUCUGCAACAACAAUAGAACUCUAUCUAAAACUUAUUCAAAAUUCAAAUAAGGCAGGUCUCAUAUCUUUAGCUAGACAAGAAGAUAUACUAUGAGGGCACUACUGACCCCGACCCUAUCACGUGCAUGCAUAUGAACUAUUAUCUACAAGUUGUCCCCACUGCCCAAGAACGAGAGCAAGUGCCAAAUGGCUCCAGCCCCAAACCACAGCGAGCAACACAAAACCAGUCCCCCAUGCCACUAGCUGUAUAUAUGCAGAUUACAAAAAGAGACGUGCACCACAUACAGAACAAAUUGAUGAAAAGUAUAAUAUAGUAUAUUUAUGAAUCACGAUUAAAAUAAAUUUCUAACAAUUACUUGAUUUUAAAAGCUUUUAUAGUUUUAAUUUCCAAAGGUUAUUAGUUUUAUUAAUAGUUUUUUAUACUCGUAUUAUAUUACAAAUAUAAUAAUGACUAAAUUAAGGUUAAUAUAUAUACCUCCUGAAUAUAUUUUGUAAAAAUACACAAACUUUCUCUAUUUUUUUAUUAUAAAAAAAUAAGGUUGCCAAGCCAUUGUUCAAAUCAAAGGGCGAUCCAAUAGUAGGUGAGAACUAAAAUAAAUUUUUAUUUUUUUUAUUUUAAAUGAAGAAUAAUACGUCGUAUUUUUUAAAUAAAUAUGGUCUUUUUAUUUUAUAAUAGCUAAUAAAAAAUUUAUAGAACUAAAUUUUACUUGUUUUAUUGUUGUUUUCACUCUCAUUCAAAGGAGUAAAAGAAUGAACUUGUCCCCGAUCCGAUAACCACACCCCACGCAGCGUAGUAAAUUUUCUUCAUCAAAAUUAUCUAUGUAAAACUCCAGCAGCAACUGGAAAAAGAUUUCGAUUUCUUUAGUUUCAGUACACCAAAGCACUCUCCAUGCGUGAAGUGAAACUAGAUGGUAUAUUCUGAAAGUGAUCCCGUGGAGAAUUUGGAAGAACAGAGAGGGUAUUCAGACAAAUUAUAGAAGCCACCGAUGAAUCAAUGAGUAGAAUAUGCUUCUUCUUUGAAGAUUAACUAUCCCCACCACGCCUGAAGGACUUAAAAGCUUCUAAAAUAAAUUUAAGAAUGAAUUUUUUUUAUUUAUUUAUAAAACUUAGUGUUCUUAUUUAUCAUUUAAAAAUGACACAUUUUAUUUUAUAAUAAUUUUUUUAAAGUAUAUUAGUACUAAAAAAUAUUUUAAUUUUUUUUUAAAACCUAAAGCCUUUCCUUGAGCUCCUUAGACCUUAAGCCGGUCCUUAUUAUCCCUGGGUGGGCAACUUGUUAAUGAUGAAUUGAAGACCCUUCAAACCUGUGUGCUACCUUAAGUAGGAGUGGAAUAUCAAUUGUUUCCACACUAGGGACAAAACUUCAUCAAACUCAUGAACUUACUCAGUCCCUUCCAGCGUGGAAUUCGCAACAACGACCCUCAGUCAUCUUCCUCUAUAUAUUACUACUCAGCUCUUAUACAUAGACCCACACAGUUAUACAACUCUAGAGAAUCAAGAAAAUUAUUUUAUAUAAAAAUAAUAUAUAUAUAUAUAUAUAUAUAUAUAUAUAUAUAUAUAUAUAUAUAUAUAUAUAUAUAUAUAUAACAUAUAAAUUAAAUAUUUUAACAAUAUAAUAAAGUAAAAUAGUAAAUUAUAAACUAUAAAAUACUUCAACAAUUAAGUUUAAUAAUACAUUAUUAGUGAAUAAUAACCUAUUGAUCUUAUAAUAAUGAUAAAUUAUGCUCAUCUCAAAUUUGUUGUUAUCAGAAAAUAAAACAUAUUUACUCAAAUUUGUUGUUAUUAGAAAACAAAACAUAUGUUAAAUAGUAAAUAUACAUAAAAUAAUCCAAAUAACUUACUGAUGUUGUUAUGAAUCAUUAUGAAUGAAAAAUGUGAAUGUUAUCUUUUAUCUUCUUAGCUUUAAUGAUAGUUUUAUGUAGUUUUAUAGUAACCUAACUUUUAACAUUCUUGCAAUUGAGAAAUAAUAAUGUAUAGAGGAAAUGAGGCUUAACUUGCGAACAAUAUAUAUUUAAAUACAAUAAAGUAUAAUCAGCAUUUGUGGUAUAAAUCUAGUUGGAAUCGCUUCUGUUUUCGUCAUGCAGUGGCAUACCUUUGGGCCUUCUAAUAAAAUGGUAAAUAUUAUUUUAUCCGUAUAUAAUACAUUCGUUGUUGGAGGAAGACAUAUUUUUACCAUAAUUUCUUAAAAACAAUAAAUCACUCAAUAAAGUGUUUCCUCCCAAGUCGCAAGAAUCAAGCUCUAGAUGCGCUAGGAAAUGUUUUGUAAAAUGAAAUAUAUAAAUAGGAAGAACUUGUAAAAAAAUAGAGAUAAACAAUGAAGAAAAUAGCCAUUAAAAUUCAUAAAAUGAGAAUAUCUAAGUAUAAGAUUACAACGAAUCUGGAUGAAUCUGCUAACAACCUAAUCUUCUAUCAUUUUCAUUUGAUAUUUAAAAUAAUUAACUGCUAAAACAAAACUCAUAAAAGAUAAAAUCUGCAACAAUAAUUGAACUCUAUCUAAAACUUAUUCUAAAUUCAAAAUUCAAGUAAGGCAAGUCUCAUAUCUUUAGCGAGAGAAAAGAAAAUACUAUCACGCCAAUACUGACCCCGACCCUAUCAGAUGCAUGAACUUUUAUGGAAAGUUGUCCCCACUCCCCAAACCCAAAACCGCAGCCAGCAACACAAAACCAGUCCCCCAUGCAAUAGCUGUAUAUAUGCAGAUUACAAAAUUAAAAGAGACACCACAGAACAAAUGAAUGAAAAGUAUAAUAGUAUAUUUAUGAACGAAGAUGAAAAUAAAUUUCUAACAAUUAAUUAAUUUUAAAAGCUUUCAUAGUUUUAAUUUGCAAAUGCUAUUAGUUUUAUUAAUAGUAUAUAGAUACUUGUAUUAUAUUACAAAUAUAAUAAUGAAAAAAUUAAGGUUAAUAUGCCUCCUAGAAUAUAUUUUGUAAAAAUACACAAACUUUCCAAAUUUUAUUUUUUAUUUUAAAUGAAAAAUAGUAUGUCGUAUUUUUUAAAUAAAUAUGAUUUUUUUAUUUUAUAAUAGCUAAUAAAAAAAAUUUGGAGAACUAAAAUUUAAAUUUUAGUUAUUUUAUUGUUGUUUUCACUCUCAUUUAAAGGAGUAAAAGAAUGAACUUGUCCCCGAUAACCACGCUACACAGCCUAGUAAAUUUUCUACACCAAAAUGAUCUAUGUAAAACUCCAGCAGCAGCUGGAAAAUACUCCGAUUCCUCUAGUUCCAGGUACACCAAAACACUCUCCAUGCGUGAAGUGAAACUAGAUGGUAUUUGCUGAAAGUGAUCCCGUGGAGAAUUUGGCAGAACAGAGAGGGUAUUCAGACAAAUUAUAGAAACCACCGAUGAAUCAGUGAGUAGAAUAUGCUUCUUCCUUGAAGAUUAACUAUCCCUAGUGGGCAACUUGUUAAUGAUGAAUUGAAGACCCUUCAAACCGUGUGUGCUACCUUAGGUAGGCGUGGAAUAUCAAUUAUUUCCACACUAGGAACAAAACUUCAUUAAACUAAUGAACUUACUCAGUCCCUUCUAGCGUGGAAUUCGCAACAACGACCCUCAGUCAUCUUCCUCUAUAUAUUACUCCUCAGCUCUUAUAUUUAGACGCACACAGUUAUACAGCUCAAGAGAAUUAUCAUACCCUUUAAGAUGAAACCGUACCUACGUCCAAUAUUCCUAUUAUUCCUUAUCCUUCUCGACCAAUCCACUUCGGCGAGUGCUUCUAAGAGUAGGUUUAUAGAAUUCUUUUCAAAAUUAAAGAAUUCUUUUAAUCCUAAGUCUGAAGAACUCAAAUCAAAAGAUAUAAAGAAGCUCCCGAGCGUCGAAUUUUUGAAGAAGAAACAUGACGGAGUUAAGGACUUCUCUCAAGAAGCUAACCUGAAAAUACCAACCUGGAUAGGAAGAAUAAUACGAAACCGGAAAGGAAAGCCGUCCCAGAAACCAAAGCACCCUCCCCCACCGCCAGACUACCGUGUACAACUAAAGUCCGAUCCCCCAGCGCCAAACGCACCACCGAAGCAAAUCAAUAUUAAGGGCCUGUCCGUCGUCAAAGAUUACUUAUCUGACUACGGCUACAUUGAAUCCUCUGGGCCAUUUACCGAUUCUUUCGACCAGGAAAUAAUAUCAGCCAUUAAGACCUACCAGAAUUUUUCCAAUCUUCAAGUUACCGGCGGCCUGAACAAACAGCUUAUUCAGCAAAUGUUGUCCAUACGAUGCGGUGUCCCCGACGUUAACUUCGACUACAACUUCACCGACGACAACAUUUCCUAUCCCAAAGCCGGACACCGCUGGUUCCCAAACAGAAACCUCACAUACGGUUUUCUUCCCGAAAACCAAAUCCCAGACAACAUGACUAAGGUGUUCAGAGAUUCCUUUGCGAGGUGGGCCCAAGCCUCGGGGACUUUGAGUCUCAGGGAGACAACCUACGACAACGCCGACAUCCAGGUAGGGUUCUACAACUUCACUAACUCGAGGAUUGAAGUGUAUGGUGGCAGCACUAUAUUUUUGCAACCGGAUUCUAGUAAGAAAGGGGUGGUACUUCUGGACGGUAACAUGGGCUGGUUACUUCCAAGUGAAAACGCCACACUGUCUAAAGAUGAUGGAGUUUUGGACUUGGAGACUGUGGCGAUGCACCAGAUAGGGCAUCUACUUGGACUUGAUCACUCUCACAAAGAGGACUCUGUUAUGUAUCCUUACAUAUUGUCAUCACAGUCAGAGCAACGAAAGGUGCAGCUUUCCAAUUCUGACAAGGCCAACAUUCACCUUCAGUUUGCUAAGCAUGAUUAGGAUGUGACUUCUCUGCUGCCAAACUCGCAUGACUCAGCAAGCCACGGUGGGGGUUUGGAUGUGCUUUUAGUUACCACUUUCUCUCUUGGAUUUGCUUACGUAUUGCUCCUUUUGUAUUAGUCGUUCCUGUCCCACCUUGCUUUUGGAAUUAUGAGCUUUUUAUAUUUCUGAUUGUUCAAUGUUUAUUGUAUGUGCUCCCCAACCUGUGGUGACUUUUCGGUUUAUUCUCACGUGGCUGUUUCUUAUAGGCCUUUCGACCUCCAAUAUUAAAUAAAAGAUCAUUUUGAGCUUUCUAAUUUUAAUUAUUUUUUAUUUAUAUCUCUUCUAAUAUUAAUAAUAAAUAAUACAAUAUAUAAAUAAAUAAAUGAUUAUAUACAAUUAAUCUUUUAGGAUGAUUAUUAUUUAAAAAUAGAAAAAUAAUAUAUAUUUAUAUAAUGUUAUGAGAGGUCUUUAGUUAUAUGCAGAAUGCACCGUUGGCCACUUAGGAGUUGGGAUUUCAGUAAUUAUUCUUGUGGUGGGUAAAGCUAUAAACUCGGUUUUGUGUAAGUUCCUUUCCUUUCUUGAGGAGUCUAUGGUGGGAAAGAGAAACACCUUUUCCACUGUAAGAAAGUUUUUUAAAACUGGUAUAUUACUUUAGUUUUAAUCUAAUGGCUCAUUUUUUUUUCUUUUUCUCCUUGUAUCUUUUAUUGCUUUUCUUCUUAUCUUUCCUUAUUUGUUCCUUCUCUUUUUUUUCUCCUUCUAUCCAAUCACAAAAUUUUAAAAAUAAAUAUUUUUAAUUAAAAUAUUUAAAAUUCUAAAAAUUCAAAUUUUCUCAGAAUUUUACAUUCGAUCUUUAUCUAAAUACACAAUUAAUCACAUUUAAUUGGAUCAUUAAGGAAUGAUUGCGGCGUUAUGUUUUUUCUUUUGUGUUUCUGUGUGAGUCAUUUGAGCGGUGCUGGAAAUAAGGAAGUAAGAUUUUUUACAUGAGCCUAAGUGCACUCUAGAAACAAUUAUAAAAAGAGAGCAAUCCAUUUCGACGAACUCCCUAAAAGCAUCAUGUCAAAGCCAUAGAAUCAAGGAGCAUCCCAUAAAUAAAAAUAAAUAAAAUCACCAUAUUCAUGCACAAUUACACAUAAAAAUUAAUAAAAUUUUGUCUGUCCCGACAUCCGUACACAAGAUAACGAAGAAAAAUCCGGUUGAAGUCUACCAUAAACCCAAGUCCUUCACACCAAAUCAUAUUGCAUUAAAUCAGGAGUUUCAACUUUCAAGCUAUUAAUCCAAUCAAGAUUUUAUAUUCCUUUUUUUUUAAUAUUCAACUUGAGCUAUCUAUCUCCAUUAUUAAAUCUAUAAUAUUUUGAAAAUGAAAAUUCAUCAUUCCUAUAGAACACAAAAUAAUACAGAUAGUCACGUGUAAGGUAUUACACAAAACUGAUAUUCAAACUAUAUAAUAAAAAGAGGAUCGAAUGACAAUAAUGAGAGUGAUUAAAAAAAUAUACAAAUUCAAGGUCAUGACAACUCUGAUUCUGUGAAUAGGAAAGCCCAAAUGAAUGAAAAAUAAAAGACACUCAUUACCUGACGCUUAUAUGCUAGAAAUACUUUUCCUUAGGUCGUAUCAUGCAUGUGCCAACUAAUUCUGCUAGAAAUACGCUUAGUUUUAAAUAUUGUAUCAUCUACCAUAUAAAUCAUUAUAAAUGAAUCUAGAUUCAUGUACUCAUCCCUAUAAAACAAUAAUAUUUUUAACAGAAAAUAAAAAAAAUUAAAAUGAAACUAUUAAAGAUUAAAAUAAAAUUUUUGAAAUUUAAUAUACUAAAUCAGAAAAAAAAAAAUAUAAACGAUGAAAAUAAUUUUUUAAAAACUUAAUAUUCCUAAAAAUAAAAUUAAAAAAAUACAAAGAACCAAAAGUAAUAUAUAUCCGGAGGCCUAUAAAUGCCAAAAACAAUCACACAACUAAAACGAAAAGGCAUCGUAUGGAUGGGGCAACACAUUGAACAACUAAUGAUGCUCCAAAUUAAAUGAGUAAAUUUAUAAAUGUAUAAUCCUUUUUUGUGUGGAUUGGGUGAGGAAAUUAAGAGAGAUGUGAUAUCAUAAGAAAUAUAGAUAUUAAAAAAUAUAAGAUGAAAGAGUAUGAGUUCUAAGUAGGAUGUAUGUUUAUAAUAAUAAAAUCCAUAACAUCCAAGCUUGAGUGAAACAUAAGACUUGGACUUGGUGUAUAUUUAAUUUAAAUUAAAGUUGACGAUUUUAAUAUUAUAGUAGUUUUAUUGUAUAAGUUCAAGAAGGACUUUGGUCUUGCUUUUUUUGGAAAUUUGAUUUCGAAUAUAAGUGUGUAAACAUACUCUUAAAGAUAACUAAAUAUAUCAUAUGAAAUAAAAAUGAGUUUAUGCUCCAAACCGAGUUUGAAACACCAAAAUAAAAUCCAAACAUGUUGAUAUCGAUGUUCUUAAUAGUCUAAUGCAAAAGAAGCAAAUCCAAGACACAAAAUGAUAACUAAAAGCAUUCCCCAAAGCCCACCAUGGCAAAAGUUGCCAUUAGUAUAAUGUUGGAGCAUGUUGUGCUGAUUAGAAAUCGAAAGCUCCACCUUUGGUUUCUUUGAUGACAAUAUAUAAGAGUACCGUUGAGGUAGGUGACGUUGUAGUAGAAAUUCAUGUCGGGGACAACACAUCGUGGUAGCACCUACUGAUGGGGUGACAACACAGCUUUAGCAGGACAAUUAAAGAAUAGUCGAUGAAGAACAAUUAAAUAAAAAACAAAAAAGAAUCACCAAUUCGAAACAAAUAGUAUAGCACUGCACUACUAACUGACCCCAUCAACUGCAAGUGGCAAAUUACUCCAAGCCCAAAACGCAGCGAGCAAAACAAAACCGCCAGUCCCCUGCUAGCUAUAUAUAUAUGCAGUUUACAAAAAGAGACACCACAAAUCAUCAACAAAUGGAUGAAUAGUAUAAUAGUAUAUUUAUGAAUCACGAUUAAAAUAUAUUUCUAUUAAUUAAUUAAUUUUAAAACUCUCACAAAUAAAGAAAGAUAUGUUAUUUUAAUUAUAUUUAUAUCAAGAUUAUUAAACUCAAGUGAUAAAAUUUCAUAAGAGUAUAUUUUAUAUAAAAAUAAUAUAUAUAUAUAUAUAUAAUAUUCUAAUUAAAUAUUUCAAUAAUAUAAUAAAACAAAAUACUAAAUUAUAAAUUUAAAAAUACUAAAAUAAUUAAAUCUAAUAAUAUAUUAUUAUAGGAUGAUAACUUACUGAUAUUAUAGUAAUGAUAGAUCAUUCUUAUCUUAAAUUUAAUAUAUGUUAAACUAUAAUAAACAUAAAAUAAUCUAAAUGAUUAAUUGUUGUUAUUAUGAAUCAUUUUCAAUGAAAAAUAUGAAUGAUAUCUUUUAUCUUCUUAGCUUUAAUGGUAGUUUUAUGUAGUUCUAGAAUAACCUAACUUUUAACCCUCUUACAAUUGAAAAAUAGUAAUAUAUAGAGGAAAUGAGGCUUAACUUGCGAACAAUAUAUAUUUAAAUACAAUAAAGUAUAAUCAGCAUUUGUGGUAUAAAUCUAGUCGGAAUCAUGUUUGUUUUCUUCAUGCAGGGGCAUAUCAUCAUGGUUAUCAAACUCUCAAGUUAACUCGCUAACUCUUACGAGUUUACGAGUCCACUUGUUCUCUGCGAGUUGACUCUUGAGUAAACUCUUUUCUUAGUAGACUCAGUAAACUCUAUAAACUCUAAGUAAACUCGGUAGACUCUCGAGUUUACCACCGAGUCAACGAGUUAGCAAGUUAAAAAAAUUAGACAAAAAUGUAAGUCAUUUUUUAUUGUUUUCUGUCUGUUUAGCAUUCAACAUACCUUUUAACAUGUUAUUCUCAAAUACAAAAUUCUCACCUUUAAUAAUAUCAAACUCUUGUUCUCUAAUAAAAUCAAAUACUCGAUGAGAAUAAUCUACCACUACUAUAACCUCUACAAGUUAUUGUUUAGUGGUGAUGUAUUAUUAUUAGACUUGGUUAUUUAAAUAUUCUGAACUUUAUGAUUUACUGUUUUACUUUAUUAUAUUGUUAAAAUGUUUAAUUAGUAUGUUAUUUAUAGAUAUUUUGUUAUUAUUUUUAUAUGAAAUAGACUCUUACGAGUCUACGAGUUGAAUCUACGAGUCGAGUCUAUAAAACUCUCACGAGUUGCGUAAACUGUCGAGUUUGAUAACCUUGCAUACCAUUAGGCCUUCUAAUAAAAUGGUAAAUAUUAUUUUAUCCGUAUAUAAUACAUUCGUUGUUGGAGGAAGACAUAUUUUUACCAUAAUUUCUUAAAAAAAUGAAUGACUCAAUAAAGUGUUUCCUCCCAAGUCGUAGUAAGAAUAUAAUCAAGCUAUAGAUGCGCUACGAAAUGUUUUGUAAAAUGAAAUAUAUAAAUAGGAAGAACUUGUAAAAAAAAAAAAUAGAGAUAAACAAUGAAGAAAAUAACCAUUAGUAAAAAUUCGUGAAAUGAGAAUAUCUGAGUAUAAAAUUACAACUAAUCUGAACGAAUCUGCUAAACAACCUAAUCUUCUAUCAUUUUCAUUUGAUGUUUAAAUUAUUGACUGCUUAAACAAAACUCAUAAAAGAUAAAAUCUGCAACAAUAAUAGAACUCUAUCUAAAACUUAUUCAAAAUUCAAAUAAGGCAGGUCUCAUAUCUUUAGCUAGACAAGAAGAUAUACUAUGAGGGCACUACUGACCCCGACCCUAUCACGUGCAUGCAUAUGAACUAUUAUCUACAAGUUGUCCCCACUGCCCAAGAACGAGAGCAAGUGCCAAAUGGCUCCAGCCCCAAACCACAGCGAGCAACACAAAACCAGUCCCCCAUGCCACUAGCUGUAUAUAUGCAGAUUACAAAAAGAGACGUGCACCACAUACAGAACAAAUUGAUGAAAAGUAUAAUAUAGUAUAUUUAUGAAUCACGAUUAAAAUAAAUUUCUAACAAUUACUUGAUUUUAAAAGCUUUUAUAGUUUUAAUUUCCAAAGGCUAUUAGUUUUAUUAAUAGUUUUUUUAUACUUGUAUUAUAUUACAAAUAUAAUAAUGAAUAAAUUAAGGUUAAUAUAUAUACCUCCUGAAUAUAUUUUGUAAAAAUACACAAACUUUCUCUAUUUUUUUUUAUAAAAAAAUCAAGGUUGCCAAGCCAUUCUUCAAAGCAAGGGUGAUCCAAUAGUAGGUGAGAACUAAAAUAAAUUUUAUUUUAUUUAUUUUAAAUGAAAAUUAAUAUGUCAUAUUUUUUAAAUAAAUAUGGUCCUUUUUAUUUUAUAAUAGCUAAUAAUUUUUUUUAUAAGACUAAAAUUUAAAUUUUAGUUAUUUUAUUGUUGUUUUCACUGUCAUAUUUUAGUUAUUUUAUUCUGUGAUUCUUGAGUAAAUUUUUUUCCACAUAGACCGAGUAAAUUCUAUACACUCUAAGUAAACUCGAUAGACUCUUGACCAACUUAGCAACAGUAAGCCUAAAGAAAUUUGCCCGAAAAUUAAGAACACGUAAAUUUGCCCGAAAGACCCGCAUCAAAAAGUUUGCCCGAUGAUGAAGUACGUGUAUCAAAAAAUUUGCCAAAACUAAGGUCCCUUUACUUCAUUCCCCCACCUGCAUAACUCUGCAAGCCACGGUGGGCGUUUGGAUGUGCUUUUAGUUACCACUUUCUCUCUUGGAUUUGCUUACGUAUUGCUCCUUUUGUAUUAGUGGCUCCUGUCCCACCUUGCUUUUGGACUUGUGAGCUUUUUAUAUUUCUGAUUGUUCAAUGUCUAUUGUGUGUGCUCUCCAACCUGUGGUGACUUUUCGGUUUAUUCAUGUGGCUGUUCCUUAUAGGCCUUUCGACCUCCAGUAUUAAAUAAAAGAUCAUCUUGUAGCUUUUUAAUUUUAAUUAUUUUUUAUUUAUAUCUCUUCUAAUAUUAAUAAUAAAUAAAUGAUUAUAUACAAUUAAUCUUUUAGGAUGAUUAUUAUUUUAAAAUAGAAAAAAUAAUAUAUAUUUAUAUAUUGUUAUGAGAGGUCUUUAGUUAUAUGCAUAAUGCACCCUUGGCAACUUGGGAGUUGGGAUUUCAGUAAUUAUUAUUGUGGUGGGUAAAGCUAUAAACUCGGUUUUGUGUAAGUUCCUUUACUUUCUUGAGGAGUCUAAGGUGGGAAAGAGAAACACCUCUUCCAAUGUAAGAAAGUUUUUUAAAACUGGUAUAUUAGUUUAGUUUCAAUCUAAUGCCUCAAUUUUUUUUUUCUUUUCUCCUUGUAUUUUUUAUUCCUUUUCUUCUUAUCUUUGCUUGUUUGCCCCUUCAAUUCUCUUCUUUCUCUCCCAUCUUCUUUCUCUCUCCUUCUAUCCGCCACCAUAGUGCACCGUCACUUGUAGUUGCUUUGGUGGUACUCUACCACAGAAGAAGCAAGUGGAGCCUUGUUUCCAUUACUUUACGGAAAUUCACUUAAUCACAUUCAAUUGGUUCAUUGAGGGAUGUUUUUUCUUUCGUGUUUCUGUGUGAGUCAUUUGAGCGGUGCUGCGAAAGAAGAAAAAACUCCGGCGGGUGCCCACUGGUUGUCUGCGGUGGAGAGAAGGAGUGUUGUGCGGAAGAAAAGAAGAGGGGCAAACAAGGAAAGACUGGAAGAAAGGAAUAAAAGAAAAAAUACGAAAACUAAACCAAGUGUCAAGGGAAACGAAAAGCAUAAUAGCAGGAGUCAAGUUCAAAAAUUAUACAAAGUUUCACAAAGAAGAUCCAUAUAUGUUUCAAAUGCUAGAUUCCUUCGAAUAGAUGGCUAUGGGUGAUAAAUU